GCAUCGGACAGCAAGCUUGCAGAUGCACAACAGGGGUAUGACUUCACCCUCACCGCAAUGCCCUCAGCCCUGGCCGGUGCCAAUGUCAUCUACGGCCUGG
rfam:Desulfobacterium vacuolatum DSM 3385 genome assembly, contig: Ga0002809_137